rnacentral:rRNA from 1 species
GACGAACGCUGGCGGCGUGCUUAACACAUGCAAGUCGAACGGAAAGGCCCUGCUUUUGUGGGGUGCUCGAGUGGCGAACGGGUGAGUAACACGUGAGUAACCUGCCCUUGACUUUGGGAUAACUUCAGGAAACUGGGGCUAAUACCGGAUAGGAGCUCCUGCUGCAUGGUGGGGGUUGGAAAGUUUCGGCGGUUGGGGAUGGACUCGCGGCUUAUCAGCUUGUUGGUGGGGUAGUGGCUUACCAAGGCUUUGACGGGUAGCCGGCCUGAGAGGGUGACCGGGCACAUUGGGACUAAGGUACGGCCCAGACUCCUACGGGAGGCAGCAGUGGGGAAUAUUGCACAAUGGGCGGAAGCCUGAUGCAGAAACGCCGCGUGCGGGAUGACGGCCUUCGGGUUGUAAACCGCUUUCGCCUGUGACGAAGCGUGAGUGACGGUAAUGGGUAAAGAAGCACCGGCUAACUACGUG